rnacentral:lncRNA from 1 species
UUUUUUUUUUUUUUUAAAUAAAGGCAAAGGAAAUGAAAUUUGGAACAAAGGGCUAGAGUCACAAGCGGACUUCCAUUCACAAAACCCCAGAAGAAAAGGUAUGGAAAAUAAUCUCAGCAAAUACUUUCUGCAUGAGCCAUACAAGCAUCGUUGGAGCAACUCUGUCACAGGAGAAGCAGUCCAGCCCCCUCUACCCAAGGAGCAAGAUGAAUCCGAUGUGCAGCCACACUUGUGGAUGUGGGUGAACCCCAAUCUGGUUUGCCCCAUAACAGGGUACCUCAGUAAGGGAGUCCCAGGAAAACCAGUGCAUUUGGUAGCUCCUGCACCCAAGGCAGCUGUUACAAAACCUACUUCAGUAAAACCAAGGCCCCCAGUAGCUGCUGCCCUACAAACUUCCUCUGGACAAUGUGUUUCAGUGCCCUUAGUAACUGCUGCACCCAAGGUCUCCGCUAGAAAAUAUAGUUCAGUAAAGACAGUGGCUCUCAUCAAUGCCCUGCAGACUUCUCCUGUAGCCUCUGUUUCCAUACUCCCAUUGGCUGCUUCUGAUCCUGUGACCCUGCAGGCUUCCACAGUCAAGAAUGUUCCCAGAAAACCAGUGUUCCCUGUAUUAUUGGCAGCUGUUGCACCAAAGGCUUCUACUCCAGUAAAACCUGUACCCCCAGUAUCUGCUGCAUCCAAGGCUUCUCAUAGAAAACAUGCUUCAGGAAAGACAGUGCCCCCAGUAGCUGACACCAUCCAGGUUUGCGCGCACACACCAGGAAAAACCAUGUCCCUGGAAGCUGCAGCACUUGUGGACUCCUAUCAAAAGCCAGUCUUAAUUGCCUACAAGCAACUUUGUCCCAAGGAGGAGGUACUACUGUGCUCCAGCAAAGCAAAGGUAUGUUAGAUAGAUAUUCAGUGCACAUGAAGCCCACGUGGCUUACUGUUGUUUUGGAGGCUGCUGGCUCCUGAUCUCGCUAGCAGCAGCAGCAUCAGAGGAGCUAGUGGUAGCACAGCUGUACAAUUGAGAGAGCGUGAA